GCGACGGUAGCUCAGUUGGUUAGAGCACCUGGUUGUGGUCCAGGGGGUCGGGGGUUCGAGUCCCCUCCGUCGCC
rnacentral:tRNA from 1 species